CUCCUUGGUUUCUAGCCUGCCUGACUGUGAGACCGACUGGUCGAAUAGAGACGAAAGUCGGCCCUAGUGAUCCGGGAGUCCCGUGUGGAAGGGCUCUCGCUCAA
rnacentral:rRNA from 1 species